rnacentral:lncRNA from 1 species
AGGCUUCCUAUGUGGCUUUUUAUAGUUGAAAAGUGUUGCCCUAGGUCAUACUUACUGCCCAAGAGGUAUUUUCUGCCCAAGAUGUGUCUGAAAAGAAAAGAAUCGCGCUUUUCGGCUUCAGAAGGAAGGCUGCGCGAAAAUGCACUGCGGAAGGAAGUUGGUGCGCGCGGUUUGGUCUCAGAAAGGGAAGGAGGCGCAGAUUAUGCUUCCUAAAUAAGUUUAGAUGCUGACCUUGCUUCCUAAUUAGUGUAGAGGCUGCCCAAGAUACUGCCCAUGCUCAACUUGUUGCCCAAGUUGUUACAGAAAAGGAAGGUGGCGCGCAGAUGGCUCUCAGAAGAGGAAAGCGCGCAGAUUGUUUCUGAAUAGGAAGGAUGCACGAAUUUU